CCAUGCCUGCAUAAUGCCAACUUUUAGCGCACGGCUCUCCACAAGAGCCAUUCCCCUAGACCUGAUACAGGAAUCGUGUCAGGUCUUUUUUU
rnacentral:sRNA from 1 species